rnacentral:lncRNA from 1 species
GCAUCGAUGGCCACCUUGUCGUUUAUCCCGCUGACCCUAGACAUUACCAACUUGAAUCGGCUGAUGAACUCGUGGAGGGGUUCAUCUUCCCUCUGGGACAGACUCCAGAGAUCGACAUCAGAAGUUUCUCUAUCUAUGAACAUAGAGUAUUGCUUGAGAAAUUCCGAUGCGAGCUGUCGGAAACUUCCGAUAGAGUUUUGCUUAAGGCGC